rnacentral:tRNA from 1 species
GCCGAAGUGGCGGAAUUGGUAGACGCGCUAGAUUCAGGGUCUAGUGGGGGUUUCCUCGUGGGAGUUCAAAUCUCCCCUUCGGCACCA